AACGAACGCUGGCGGCAUGCCUAACACAUGCAAGUCGAACGAGACCUUCGGGUCUAGUGGCGCACGGGUGCGUAACGCGUGGGAACCUGCCCUUAGGUUCGGAAUAACUCCCCGAAAGGGGUGCUAAUACCGGAUAAUGUCUUCGGACCAAAGAUUUAUCGCCUUUGGAUGGGCCCGCGUUGGAUUAGCUAGUUGGUAGGGUAAAAGCCUACCAAGGCGACGAUCCAUAGCUGGUCUGAGAGGAUGAUCAGCCACACUGGGACUGAGACACGGCCCAGACUCCUACGGGAGGGAGCAGUGGGGAAUAUUGGACAAUGGGGGAAAGCCUGAUCCAGCAAUGCCGCGUGAGUGAUGAAGGCCGUAGGGUUGUAAAGCUCUUUUAGCCGGGAUGAUAAUGACAGUACCGGGAGAAUAAGCUCCGGCUAACUCCGUG
rnacentral:rRNA from 1 species